AUUCGGAAGAAGUUGUUGUAGGAGCCAGUCAUGAUGGCACUGAAAGAGGAAGGAAAAGAAAAAUGUGAUUGCUGAAGCGUUCACUGAGCGCAAACCUCCAUCACAGUUCACACAUAUCUCGAACUCAGAGGUCAGUGGAGUA